CUGACCUCGGCCCCCGAACAGAAAGGAAGGAACCUCCUGCUGUUACUACAUUCUGCAGUUCGCUCCAUGAUGGGACUCCCUGAGAGUCAAUCUUUCCACUGUGUCUGUUGUAUGUUAUGGACUGUAUGUGCAAGCAUGCCAGUGUGUGUUUGUGUUAGUGUGAGUGUUUUGUGCACGCUUGUGCCUGUGUCUGUGUGAGAGAGAGUGUGUGUGUGUGAGCAUGUGUCUGUCUGUGUGUGAGAGAGUGUGUGUAUGAGAGAGAGAGUGUGUGUGUGUGUGUUUGUGUUUCCUUCUUCCUUUGCUAACAAUGCAGCUCAGGAAAUGUCAGGAUAAAGACUGCCAGGGUGUGUAUCUCAGUUCAGUUUGUGUUACUAGAGGGUCUAUAGCACAGUCCUCAUGAGCCCCAGGCAAGCCUAAUUGCAUAUUCUGGACCUUACCGUGUUCUGGACCUAAGAGAGGUAGUGGCCGUCCUAUUGAAGCUCUGCUAUGUCCUUCUGGCUGCCUGAGGAGUUUGAGGGGAUCCAUUCACACACCUUUCGGGUGAAGACAUUCAAGAAGAGCAAGCACUGUGGCGUGUGCAAACAGACCGUCAGCCAGGAGGGGCUAAUUUGCAAAGUGUGCCGGCUGACUUGCCACAAGACAUGUGAAGUGAAGGUAAGAGCAGCAUCUUUUCUCAGGGCUCUUAUGUUGCCGAAUGGGCAUGUCUAAGCAAUGGGAACGCAGUCUUUUUUAGGCAGCUACACUUUUUACAUGUAGGUUGUUAUGAACUGUCAUUACAUCUUAUGUCAUCACGUCACAUCUCAAGUGCACAAGAGUCAAGUACAGUGUAGCUCUACCAAGUCAUCCUCUGUUGACGCAACAGGAGGCUGCUGAGGGGAGGAGGGCUCAUAAUAAUGGCCGGAACGGAGAGCGAAUGGAAUGGCAUCAAAACACAUGGAAACCAUGGAAACCAUGUGUUUUACUGUUUGAUACCAUUGUACUGAUUUCUCUCCCUCCCAUUACCAUGAGCCCGUCCUGCCAAAUUACAGUGCCACCAACCUCCUGUGGUUAGCUCUUAGUGGUUUAGUUAGCUCAACUCUCUUUCCUUCAAAGCCAAGCAGAGCUUAUCAGAAGGUAAUGUUGUGUUAAUGAGGUGGACGGGACCUCGGCAGGAACAGUGUUCCUGCACUCCUAAUGUCGGAGGAAUCUGAAAACAAGUGCAGGCUGUCCCAGUAUGUGUUUGACUUGGCUGAGCCUUUGUAUGUUCGACAUCACCCCCUUCUAAAAAUAAACGUCAGUUCGCUACAUGGUCGACGGGCUUGGUGUGUUUGAAGGGGGGGCACUUAGAAGAAGAUGGGAAGUAGUGAUGGAAAGAGAGAGAGAGGUGGUGAAGGAGGGCUGGAGAUGAGAAAACCUAGAUUUUUUACAAUACGUUGCAGUGAGAGAUUUACUAGACUUUAGAUUUAUAGCACACACACACACACACACACACACACACACGUCACCGCCCUUCAUCUGGCAGCCAUUACUGAAAUGUUCCAGAGGUGCCAGCUCUACCCAG
rnacentral:lncRNA from 1 species